GGACCCGCACAAGCGGUGGAGUAUGUGGUUUAAUUCGAUGCAACACGAAGAACCUUACCAGGGUUUGAAAUCAUUUCAAAACUCCUUGAAAGAGGAGCCUCCUUCGGGAUGAAAUGACAGGUGGUGCAUGGCUGUCGUCAGCUCGUGUUGUGAAAUGUCGAGUUAAGUCUCGUAACGAGCGCAACCCAUGUCUCUUGUUGCUCACUGAGUGCUUAAGAGAGACUGCCGACCAACAUCGGAGGAAGGUGUGGAUGAUGUCAAGUCAGCAUGCCCCUUACAUCCUGGGCUACACACGUACUACAAUGGUAAGGACAAUGAGCUGCGAUCCUGCGAAGGCUAGCCAAUCUCAAAAAACCUUAUCUCAGUUCGGAUUGUACUCUGCAACUCGAGUACAUGAAGGUGGAAUCGCUAGUAAUCGC
rnacentral:rRNA from 1 species